rnacentral:tRNA from 1 species
CAGUAGCUCAGUUGGUUAGAGCACAUGACUGUUAAUCAUGGGGUCGUUGGUUCAAGCCCAUCC